rnacentral:rRNA from 1 species
CAGUAGCCGCGGUAAUACGAAGGGUGCAAGCGUUAAUCGGAAUUACUGGGCGUAAAGCGUGCGUAGGCGGUGAGUUAAGUCUGCUGUGAAAUCCCCGGGCUCAACCUGGGAAUGGCAGUGGAUACUGGCUCGCUAGAGUGUGUCAGAGGAUGGUGGAAUUCCCGGUGUAGCGGCGAAAUGCGUAGAGAUCGGGAGGAACAUCAGUGGCGAAGGCGGCCAUCUGGGACAACACUGACGCUGAGGCACGAAAGCGUGGGGAGCAAACAGGAUUAGAUACCCCCGUAGUCCCUGUCUCUUAUAC